AUGCUUUUGUAGUUCAUAAACAUGAUGAUUGGGUUUUCAUGCUCUUGUGUGAGAUGUGCCUCCCUGAAACCUUGGAAACCUGACU
ensembl:snoRNA